GGGGAUGUUCCGGAAUUCGACUUUGGGUCGUAGAUUAUGCCUGCAUGCCGGAGACGACACUUGGCUCCGUAAAAAUGUGUCGCACAAAACAUAAAUGGCGAAGAAUACGCUAUCGCCGCUUAAUUAAGCGGCGCGUCGGCUCUCAGAUUCCCGGUAUGGGAUGCCCGGCGUCGACAUCGGGAACAGGGGCCGCAACUGUUCGGACGGAGUUGCGGCCGCCACAAACCGUCCGGCGCCGGAGCGGAGGAAGUCCCGACCUAACCGCUUCGAAAGACCAAUCGGAGACUAAGCAUGUAGACGGUAUAGCCGAAAGCUCUCAGGACGCGGGUUCGACUCCCGCCAUCUCCACCA
rnacentral:tmRNA from 1 species